AGAAUAAGGGUUCGACUCCGGAGAGGGAGCCUGAGAAACGGCUACCACAUCCAAGGAAGGCAGCAGGCGCGCAAAUUACCCACUCUCGGCACGAGGAGGUAGUGACGAAAAAUAACGAGACGGAUCUCUUUGAGGCCCGUUAUCGGAAUGAGAACAAUUCAAAUCCUUUAACGAGGAUCUAGCGGAGGGCAAGUCUGGUGCCAGCAGCCGCGGUAAUUCCAGCUCCGCAGGUGUAUAUCUAUGCUGCUGCGGUUAAAAAGCUCGUAGUUGGAUCUGCGUGCUCGGAACUGGUUGGCUCACUGAGUUCAAACUGGUCUCCGGCGCUUUAUUGGCUGGUUUUCCCUUGAUGCUCUUAACCGGGUGUCUUGGGUGGCUAGCACGUUUACUUUGAAAAAAUUAGAGUGCUCAAUACAGGCGUAAAGCCUUGAAUAGUGGUGCAUGGAAUAAUAGAAUAGGACCUCGGCUCUAUUUUGUUGGUUUUCGGAACGCGAGGUAAUGAUUAAGAGGGACAGACGGGGGCAUUCGUAUUGCGACGUUAGAGGUGAAAUUCUUGGAUCGUCGCAAGACGGACGACUGCGAAAGCAUUUGCCAAGAAUGUUUUCAUUAAUCAAGAACGAAAGUUAGAGGUUCGAAGGCGAUCAGAUACCGCCCUAGUUCUAACCGUAAACGAUGCCAACUAGCGAUUCGCAGGCGUUAAACAACGACCUUGCGGGCAGCUUCCCGGAAACGAAAGUGUUCGGGUUCCGGGGGAAGUAUGGUUGCAAAGCUGAAACUUAAAGGAAUUGACGGAAGGGCACCACCAGGAGUGGAGCCUGCGGCUUAAUUUGACCCAACACGGGAAAACUCACCCGGCCCGGACACCGUAAGGAUUGACAGAUUGAGAGCUCUUUCUUGAUUCGGUGGGUGGUGGUGCAUGGCCGUUCUUAGUUGGUGGAGCGAUUUGUCUGGUUUAUUCCGAUAACGAACGAGACUCUGGCCUACUAAAUAGUGGGCGGAUUCUUUCUGUCCGCAACACUUCUUAGAGGGACAAGCGGUGUUCAGCCGCACGAGAUUGAGCAAUAACAGGUCUGUGAUGCCCUUAGAUGUCCGGGGCUGCACGCGCGCUACACUGAAGGAAUCAGCGUGCUUUCUGACCUUGCCCGAAAGGGCUGGGUAACCCGAUGAAAAUCCUUCGUGAUUGGGAUAGGGACUUGCAAUUAUUUCCCUUGAACGAGGAAUUCCCAGUAAGUGUGGGUCAUAAGCUCGCGUUGAUUACGUCCCUGCCCUUUGUACACACCGCCCGUCGCUGCCCGGAACUGAGCCGUUUCGAGAAGAACAGGGACCGUCGUUGAAGGGCCUUAACGGGCUUUUCUCUGAUAGAAACUGUUUUAAUCGCAGUGGCUUGAACCGGGCAAAAGUCGUAACAAGGUU
rnacentral:rRNA from 1 species